rnacentral:rRNA from 1 species
UGGAGAAUCUUGCGCAAUGGGCGAAAGCCUGACGCAGCCACGCCGCGUGGGGGAAGAAGGCCUUCGGGUCGUAAACCCCUUUCAGCAGGGAAGAAGCGAAAGUGACGGUACCUGCAGAAGAAGCCCCGGCCAACUACGUGCCAGCAGCCGCGGUAAUACGUAGGGGGCGAGCGUUGUCCGGAAUCAUUGGGCGUAAAGCGCACGUAGGCGGUCCUGUAAGUCGGAUGUGAAAGCCCUGGGCUCAACCCAGGAACUGCAUUCGAUACUGCAGGACUUGAGGAAGGUAGAGGAGAGUGGAAUUCCCGGUGUAGCGGUGGAAUGCGCAGAUAUCGGGAGGAACACCAGUGGCGAAGGCGGCUCUCUGGGCCUUUCCUGACGCUGAGGUGCGAAAGCGUGGGGAGCAAACAGGAUUAGAUACCCCCGUAGUCC